UCUAGAGCCUUUCCAUAGUUGUGGGAAAGAAGAUGGGUAAAGUUAUUGUUAAUCUACAGAGGAAGGAAUGAUGCCAAGUUUUUCAAGGCUUCCAGAGUCACAGGAGGAGUCACUUGGUAAAUCCAGGAGCAGAAACCAGGUUAAGUGACUAGCCUAAGGUAAGAGCCAGAUUUGGAGCUUGGAAUCUGAUAGCCCUUAGGGUGCUUUAUUCCCUGAGCCAAUCCACACUUCUACCUCAGUAAAGGAAUCAACUGAGGGCUCAGCUUUUCCUCUGCAAGAAACCUGCUCUCUGGGACAGCCCAAGGGAGCUCAUUCAUCCCUUCCACCACGUGAGGAUGUGGUGAGAAUGUGCUAUCUAUGAACCAGGAAGCAGACCCUCAGCAGACACUGAAUCUACCAGUCCCUUGACCUUGGACAUCCUAACCUCCAGAACUCAUGCACAAGCAAUUCUAAACAAGGCUCAGCGAUAACAUAUCCCUUCCCAUGAGUGGAUCACUCCCACUGCCUCUUUCACACACCCUGCCUCCUGCAAGCCAAUGCUGUGAAGCCCAACCUAGCCAUGUGGCAAGGGAGAUGUCUGCCCAGUCUCCAGCUGCUCCAGCCAUCCCAGCUCAGGCACCAGUCACUUGAGGGAAGAAGCCAUCUUGGAUGUCCAGCCUAGUCUGGCUUUGAGAAGACUCUAGCUCCUGCUGCCAUCUUACUGCAGUUUCAUGAAGGAUCAAAUGUCAUAGCCAUCCAGCCGAGCCUUGGCAAACUACAGACUGUAUAAGGAGUUUUUUUAGGGCACUCUGUUACGCAGCAAUUGAUAAACAAAAAAGAGAAGAGGCAUGCAAGAAGAAGAGAGCCUCUUCUCUCUUAAAAUAGCAACAAGUGUCCUUGGCUGUGUGGGGUCUCUAGAGAUCAGCUAAUCUUGAUGUUGACAGAGGCCAAAAGUACUUGAUUUCACUACCGGAUGGAAAUUAUAUCUGUGUAGAUGUUGCUAAGCAACAAGAGAUCAGAAACCUAUAAGGAGUGACCAUAUAAUGCAAAGCAUUGAGUCAGCCAACUGAGUUCCUCCUGCACUUAUUUUUUAGAACCUGCUUAUAAAAGAAGCAAUGUCCACAAUGUGUGGGGGGAGGAAAGUCUCCUGGGACCUUAAGAGGAAAGCGUACACUUCAUCAUAAUUUGCCUGCAAUGAUCAGCAAACGAAAAAGUCAAUACACAACCUGAAAAA
rnacentral:lncRNA from 1 species